rfam:Otolemur garnettii contig019349, whole genome shotgun sequence.
GCCAGAUGUGGUGGCAUGCGCCUGUGGUCCCAGCUACUCAGGAGGCUGAGACAGGAGGAUCGCUUGAGUCCAGGAGUUCUGGUCUGUAGUGCACUAUGCCGAUUGGGUGUCCGCACUAAGUUUGGCAUCAAUAUGGUGACCUCCUGGAAGUAGGGGGCCACCAGGUUGCCUAAGGAGGGGUGAACCAGCCCAGAUUGGAAACAGAGCAGGUCAAAACUCCCAUGCUGAUCAGUAGUGGCAUUGCACCUGUGUGAAUAGCCACUGUACUCCAAGCGUGGGCAACAUAGUGAGAUCCCAUCUUUU